UUGGAGAAGUUUAUCCUGGCUCAGAACGAACGCUGGCGGCAGGCUUAACACAUGCAAGUCGAGCGAGAUCUUCGGAUCUAGCGGCGGACGGGUGAGUAACGCGUGGGAACGUGCCCUUUGCUACGGAAUAGUCCCGGGAAACUGGGUUUAAUACCGUAUGUGCCCUACGGGGGAAAGAUUUAUCGGCAAAGGAUCGGCCCGCGUUGGAUUAGGUAGUUGGUGGGGUAAUGGCCUACCAAGCCGACGAUCCAUAGCUGGUUUGAGAGGAUGAUCAGCCACACUGGGACUGAGACACGGCCCAGACUCCUACGGGAGGCAGCAGUGGGGAAUCUUAGACAAUGGGGGCAACCCUGAUCUAGCCAUGCCGCGUGAGUGAUGAAGGCCUUAGGGUUGUAAAGCUCUUUCAGCUGGGAAGAUAAUGACGGUACCAGCAGAAGAAGCCCCGGGCU
rnacentral:rRNA from 1 species